rnacentral:rRNA from 1 species
GAUAAAUGCUGGCGGCGUGCCUAACACAUGCAAGUCGAGCGGUAACAGGUCCUUCGGGAUGCUGACGAGCGGCGGACGGCUGAGUAACGCGUGGGAACAUACCCCAAAGUGAGGGAUAACUGCCCGAAAGGGUGGCUAAUACCGCAUAUGAUCUUCGGAUUAAAGGAUUUAUCCGCUUUGGGAAUGGCCUGCGUACGAUUAGAUAGUUGGUGAGGUAAUGGCUCACCAAGUCGACGAUCGUUAACUGGUUUGAGAGGAUGAUCAGUCAGACUGGAACUGAGAUACGGUCCAGACUCCUACGGGAGGCAGCAGUGAGGAAUCUUCCACAAUGGGCGAAAGCCUGAUGGAGCAACGCCGCGUGCAGGAUGAAGGCCUUGGGUCGUAAACUGCUUUUAAAGUGAAGAAUAUGACGGUACUUAGAAUAAGCACCGGCUAACUACGUGCCAGCAGGCCCGGUAAAAUCACGUGUA